rnacentral:rRNA from 1 species
GAACGGGUGAGUAACACGUGGGUGAUCUGCCCUGCACUUUGGGAUAAGCCUGGGAAACUGGGUCUAAUACCGAAUAGGACCACGCGCUUCAUGGUGUGUGGUGGAAAGCUUUUGCGGUGUGGGAUGGGCCCGCGGCCUAUCAGCUUGUUGGUGGGGUAAUGGCCUACCAAGGCGACGACGGGUAGCCGGCCUGAGAGGGUGACCGGCCACACUGGGACUGAGAUACGGCCCAGACUCCUACGGGAGGCAGCAGUGGGGAAUAUUGCACAAUGGGCGCAAGCCUGAUGCAGCGACGCCGCGUGAGGGAUGACGGCCUUCGGGUUGUAAACCUCUUUCAAUAGGGACGAAGCGCAAGUGACGGUACCUAUAGAAGAAGCACCGGCCAACUACGUGCCAGCAGCCGCGGUAAUACGUAGGGUGCGAGCGUUGUCCGGAAUUACUGGGCGUAAAGAGCUCGUAGGUGGUUUGUCGCGUUGUUCGUGAAAACUCACAGCUUAACUGUGGGCGUGCGGGCGAUACGGGCAGACUAGAGUACUGCAGGGGAGACUGGAAUUCCUGGUGUAGCGGUGGAAUGCGCAGAUAUCAGGAGGAACACCGGUGGCGAAGGCGGGUCUCUGGGCAGUAACUGACGCUGAGGAGCGAAAGCGUGGGGAGCGAACAGGAUUAGAUACCCUGGUAGUCCACGCUGUAAACGGUGGGUACUAGGUGUGGGUUCCUUCCUUGGGAUCCGUGCCGUAGCUAACGCAUUAAGUACCCCGCCUGGGGAGUACGGCCGCAAGGCUAAAACUCAAAGGAAUUGACGGGGGCCCGCACAAGCGGCGGAGCAUGUGGAUUAAUUCGA